rnacentral:rRNA from 1 species
GAUGAACGCUAGCUACAGGCUUAACACAUGCAAGUCGAGGGGCAGCAUGGUCUUAGCUUGCUAAGGCUGAUGGCGACCGGCGCACGGGUGAGUAACACGUAUCCAACCUGCCGUCUACUCUUGGCCAGCCUUCUGAAAGGAAGAUUAAUCCAGGAUGGGAUCAUGAGUUCACAUGUCCGCCUGAUUAAAGGUAUUUUCCGGUAGACGAUGGGGAUGCGUUCCAUUAGAUAGUAGGCGGGGUAACGGCCCACCUAGUCAACGAUGGAUAGGGGUUCUGAGAGGAAGGUCCCCCACAUUGGAACUGAGACACGGUCCAAACUCCUACGGGAGGCAGCAGUGAGGAAGAUUGGUCAAUGGGCGAUGGCUUGAACCAGCCAAGUAGCGUGAAGGAUGACUGCCCUAUGGGUUGUAAACUUCUUUUAUAAAGGAAUAAAGUCGGGUAUGCAAACCCGUUUGCAUGUACUUUAUGAAUAAGGAUCGGCUAACUCCGUGCCAGCCGCCGCGGUAA